UGGGGAAUUUUCCGCAAUGGGCGAAAGCCUGACGGAGCAAUACCGCGUGAGGGAUGAAAGCCUGUGGGUUGUAAACCUCUUUUCUCAAGGAAGAAGUUCUGACGGUACUUGAGGAAUAAGCAUCGGCUAACUCUGUGCCAGCAGCCGCGGUAAUACAGAGGAUGCAAGCGUUAUCCGGAAUCACUGGGCAUAAAGCGUCUGUAGGUUGCUUGUCAAGUCUGCUGUUAAAGAUCAGGGCCUAACCCUGGAAAAGCAGUGGAAACUAAUAGGCUUGAGUGUGGUAGAGGUAGAGGGAAUUCCUGGUGUAGCGGUGAAAUGCGUAGAUAUUAGGAAGAACACCAAUGGCGAAAGCACUCUACUGGGCCAUAACUGACACUGAGAGACG
rnacentral:rRNA from 1 species